rnacentral:lncRNA from 1 species
CUGGGGAAAGAUGCAGAGUGUGCAAUUUGCAGGGAGAACCUGGCUGUAGAUGACAAAAUGCAAGAGUUACCUUGCAGGCACACUUUCCAUCCACCGUGUCUAAAACCAUGGCUGGUAUUAUUCGUAACAUCCCAGAUUCAUUCGUGUUCUAUGAUUUGAUUAUUUAUUUGAUUUUUUUAAUAAACCAUCAAUCUUUUCCCUGACCAAAAACACAAGGGACAAAGUUGCAACUCAAUUUCAGAGUAACAAAUUUGUUCCUCGCUGAGAAGAUACUUAAAUCAUCAUAUAUGGAUUUUUAUGGAAUGACAAUUUUGUCACCCUUUUGUCAUCUGUGUUUCUUUUUGGGAACAAGAUUAGGGUUUACUCUUUUAUUCUUGAAGCAAAUUUAUGUUUCUGAUAAUGUGGCAUUCUAUAAUUGAAUGAGACGAUUAGAUAUAUGGUAUGAUCAAUUUGAUCAUUGAUGUGGUAGGAUGAACACAAUUCUUGUCCGAUAUGCCGGUAUGAGCUGCAAACUGAUGAUCAUGCCUAUGAGAGCUGGAAGGAAAGGGAAAAGGAAGCUGAGGAGGAGAGGAAAGGUGCUGAAAAUGCCGUUAGAGGUGGUGAAUAUAUGUAUGUCUAGAUGGCUAUUCAGUGUAGGGUUAAUAUACAUAAUAACAUGGUGGUGCAAAACUGUUAUAAUUUAUAAGGUUUCAAUUGGUGAAAAGUAUAAUAUCAGGUGUAUUCUUUGUCAUAUCAAGCAAUAGAUUUAUGUUUCCUGCUAAGCCUUAAGCUUUUUGGAGGUUCUCUUAUCAUGGUUGUCCCUUGAAGUGCUGUUCAUAUCUCAAGUUUGCAUUGUUAUUGAGCAAAGAUUGUUGUACUAAAUUUCGUUAUCGGCCACUUUUUUAUUUUAUUCAAUAAUAUUUAAAAGAUUUCGUUAGCAAACUUUCUAAAGAGGUUAAUUAAAAAUACUACAAAAAAAGCUUUUAUAGAAAUUACAAAAUAAAUGUUAGUUUUUACUUUCUUAACUAAUUCGUAACUAUAUCCAUAUUUAAAAUGUAAUUUAUCAAAUUGAUUUAACUUUUAAAUUUUAUAUUAGAUAGAGAGAGAGAAAAGGGAUUUGUAAGAGAUAAGGUUGAAAUUUGGGAAGAAGAAAAGUAAAAAGAGGUAUUACAAUUUAACAUAAUCAGUGAAGGUUAAUAUACCCACACGAGUUAACAUAAUCAGCAACUCAUUACUAGCUACUAGGGCUGGAAGUGAGUCAAGCUUGAGUUUGGAAUUGAGCUCAUAGUUUAAAUGAGUCGAGUUUGAGUUUAGAUAAGCUCAACUCAUUAGCUCGUGAGCUGACUCGAUUUUAUAUAUAUAUAUAUAUAUAUNNNNNNNNNNNNNNNNNNNNNNNNNAUUUUAUUUUAAAAAAUAAAAUAUAAUUUAUUAUUAUUUAUUUUAUAUGUGAAACUAAAAAAAAUAAAAAAAAUAUUCAAUAAUAAAAAAUUUUAAUUUAUCUUCUAAAAUAAAAAUUUAAAAUUUAUAGAUCCAAAUUCCUAAUUCCUAACCUUUCAAAAAAAUUCUGCCUACGCCGUUGCUUGGCAACAGCCAACCGGUCAAUUUCUCUCUAUUGGUUUUCCUCUCCUUUUCAGCAUUAGACUUUAGUUACACGUGGCAUGGAACUAUUGGCUGAGUUUCUGAGACAUCAGUAGACGCGCUUGUAGAGGAUCGUUCCGCUGGUUUCCUCCUUCGGAAGAAACAAAAAGCUAUUUCAGAAGGAACAGCCGAACAGAAAAGAAGAAGAAGAAGAAGAAGAAGAAGAACAAGGGUUUCUGAAUUUUGAUAAUUCGAUCUGAAUCUAAUAGGAAAAAGAAAUCAUUUCAAUUUCAUAUAUAAAAUGGAAUCGGAGGAUUCGGUGAGACUAGAAUUGGAAGAAUUGCAGAAGCAAUUGGGGAAGAAGCAAAGAUUCGAAAGCGCUGUUUCCUCUCUCAAAUCCAUGCUUCAGAGCAAAUAUCUAUCAGCUUCUCCAUCUCUUCGUAAAUCUGUAUGCUUCUUUUCUUCUUCUCUUUUUAUUUAUUUAUUUUAAUUUUUUUGUUAAUUCAUAUUCAUUUUCCCAAUUCUGUUUUUCCGACUAGUUAGAAGUGUUAUGAGUUGGUUGUUAUCCUUUAUUCUUGGAAAGAGCAGAUUUUUUUAAUGUGCUAGGGUUGAUAAGUAUGGAUGGUUGAAUAUAAUAAUAAAUAUACAAAAUAUAUAAAAUGUUCAUGAAUUGGUUCUGAUUACUGAUUUUUCUGAUUGAUGUUUUCUUUUAAUUUUUAAUUUUUGCUAAUAAUGAUUUGUUGUUAGAUUAUAUGUAACAAAGUGACUAUGACUACUAUAAACCUUGAUUUGGCUUAUGAUGUGUAACUUCCCUUAUCCUUGAAAUUUGAUAUACAAAAGAAAUGUUGCUAGUCUUUGGUGAAGAAUUUAAAACCAGUUUUGACUGUGGUGAUGUUGGAUUGUUGGUGGCAGUUUUAUUCGGUUAUAUGCCGAGUUGCUACCGUGUUGAAGACUAGAUAUACGGCACCGGGUUUCUGGAAUGCUGGCCUAGGCCUGUUUGAGCAGGCUCAAUUACUUGUUACUGAGCCUUCUGAGAAGGAGCACUUGAAGACUUGCAUUGCUCAGGCCAGGGAACACUUGCAUUUAGAAGAUAACCCAUCACAAACCUCGCAGCCUGCAGCGCAGAAUAAUACGAAUGGAGGUGAUUUUCUUUAAACAAAUAUAUGUUUUUUUUUUUUCUAUUUUCUUGAGGUGCUAUUUAUUUUUGUAUGUGUUCAUUUAUCGCGUACUGUGUUGUUUCAGGAUAUCUUUUCGAGGGGCAUCUUACUGUAGAUCCCGAACCUCCUCAGCCUCAAUGGUUGGUGCAGUCAAACCUCUUGUCAACUGCUGCUACUUUGUUUGCUGCUGAAUCCUCUCAAGGUUCGGCAGCGACCGAUACCACACCAGAGAAUGCAGCUAAUGUGCUUCAAGAGCUUAUAAAUAGAUUGGAAGAAGUCAUGCCCCUGGUAUUCAUUGAAAAUCCUUUCAUAUGUUCUUCUAAACUCUCGUUAUUUAGAUUAUAAUACUUCCCAUUUAGGUAAGUUUAAAGACAGAAUUACAAUGUGGUUUAGUUGUACUUGGAAACAUAAGUAAGCCUAGAUAUUUGGGAUUUGUUAACAAAUUAUUUAGGCCUAACUUGAGUGCACCUAGUUAAAUUUGAGCAAGCAUUCCUUUAAGCUAUAUUUGAGUACUUAUUCGCGUCACACAUAAGAUAAGGAACCAAAGGAGACUUCAUAAAUAUAAGCAAGGCUCAUUUUACCUCUCUAUAAAUGAUGUUCUUUUUCACUUUCUGCUUUGGUGGAUCUGUCAUCAAUAUUGGUACAUCAAUAAGACGGUAACUUAGAUAUAAAUAACCUACCAUUCAAUUGAACUCAUAUUGUUUAGUGCUUGGUUGGAUUAUUAUUUUAUUUUAUUUUCUUGCAUGCUUUUUUAUUGUGUGCAUGUUUUCUGGUAUGAUCAAAAGUUCCAUUGCUACACUUUGCAUUGCUUUAUUAACGACAAUUUGCUGUAAUUUAUUAUGGUUAGAUGAUUGAAGAUGGUCCUGUGGCUCCAAGGGCCCCUCCUGCCAGUAAAGAAGUCGUGGCGAGACUUCCUGUCAUUACUCUCACAGAGGAAAUACUGGCUAAGCUGGGGAAAGAUGCAGAGUGUGCAAUUUGCAGGGAGAACCUGGCUGUAGAUGACAAAAUGCAAGAGUUACCUUGCAGGCACACUUUCCAUCCACCGUGUCUAAAACCAUGGCUGGUAUUAUUCGUAACAUCCCAGAUUCAUUCGUGUUCUAUGAUUUGAUUAUUUAUUUGAUUUUUUUAAUAAACCAUCAAUCUUUUCCCUGACCAAAAACACAAGGGACAAAGUUGCAACUCAAUUUCAGAGUAACAAAUUUGUUCCUCGCUGAGAAGAUACUUAAAUCAU